rnacentral:ribozyme from 1 species
UGCCCAGCAACUCCUAUCCCUACCUCCACGCGGUACCGACCGGAAACUAUGAGCAACCUUAGGGAAGAUCGGGUAACCAACCCCGGUGGGAACUUUGGUCGUAGGCUGACAGGGAAGU